rnacentral:lncRNA from 10 species
CGGAGGUUGCAGUGAGCCAAGAUCAUACAACUGCACUCCAACCCAAGCAACAGAGUGAGACUCCAUCUCAAAAAAAAAAAAAAAAAUCUAGAGAUAAAUUAAGCCAUAUUUAAUGUCUGGACACCAGAGGAUCUAGACUGGUGAAAACUCACAUUGCAUCUGAGGAUAGCUAGCCUGCUGCAGUGAUUGAUAGAGAUGUUUUAGUUAAGACCCUGAACUCCUUACCAUGAGAUCACAGAUAGCCCUCAGGCUUGAGGAUGCCCAAAUUUAGAAAUCACAGGAUGAAGAUCUCAUACAAUGAAAUUUAUAAAACAUCCUAUUAGACCUGCAGGUAUAAAUAUGAUAUCAAACUUUCUCCCAGAUGUGAAUUUAAAACAAGACCUAUUAUCCGUGGCAUCAAGCUAAAAUAAUAUGUAUGGACUACAUUCUUUAAAUAAAUUAUGCUAUAGUUGAAGAUCAGAUAUAUCCAAAAGGCACACUGAUACAUAUUAAAACUUUAAACAACUUUUUAUUGGAAGAAGUCUUAAAAAGCUAAAGAAAUGAGUCUAAUAAGCACUUUGAUUUUUGUUUUUUUGAGACAGGAUCUCACUCUGUGGCCCAGGCUGGAGAGCAGUGGUUUAGUCACAGCUCACUGCAGCCUUAACUUCCCGGGCACAAGCAA